GUGUCCUAAGUUGAGCUCAGUGAGGACAGAAAUCUCACGUUGAGGAUAAGGCCAAAAGCUCAAUUUACUGUGCCUUUUUGUACUAGGAUCAGUUACGAAAGUAAGGCCUAACGAUCCCUAAAUAGCCUCAGGUGCGUGAGGAUUGGGGUGACAGACAAGUUACCUCCGGGACAACUGGCUUGUGGCUGCUAAGAGAUCAAAUCAACGCAGCUUUUUGAUUCUUCGAUGUCGGCUCUUCCUAUCCUAGUGAUGUACAAGUUGCUAAGGGUCGGAUUGUUCACCCGUAUUAGGGAUCGUGAGCUGGGUUUAGACCGUCGUGAGCCAGGUUUGUUUUAUCCUACUGGAUAUAGCAUCAUGAUAGUAGAUUGAUUUAGUACGAGAGGAACUGUUGAUUAUGGCCUCUGGUUAGCGAUUAUCGGAAACGGUAUGUCGCGCAGCUACGCCGUCUGGGAUAAUGGCUGAAAGCCUCUUAAGCCAGAAGCCCAUCUAGAAAGUGAUGCACGUGAUGUUGGACCGAUACGAAUAAUCAUACUCAAAAGGUCCGCUUCAUAGGUAACCCAAUGUAGAAGACAUUGUGUGAACGAAGGUACUGUAAGCAGUGGAGUGGCAUUACGUCCACGACCUGUUGAGGUUCAGCUUCGCUUCUAGGUUUCC
rnacentral:ncRNA from 1 species